CUGGCGGGCAGAAGCCUGCACCCUCCAGCAACCGCUCUGUUGACGUAAACACAGGGUGUCUGGAGCUCCGGCCAGGUUGGGGGAGGGGGCCCAAGGGUCUCCCAGAGGUCUAAGGCUGAGAGCAGAGAAGACACUAGAAUCACCAGGCAGGGCAGGGGUUUCAGUAUCCUCCUGUUGCAGGACACAACGCUUGUCUCGCCUUGCAGAACACGCUGCUCCUGGGGACUUUAGUCCUGGUCACCGUGGUCCUCCAUUCCAGCAGCCACUCCCGGCAUCGCCCGGCUCCUGCGGCCGCUUUGAGCCUUUGAGGAAAGUGAUCUGAUAACAACCACGCAUAUUAAGAACUACAAGAAAGAGGCCUCUGAAACUUGGCUUGGGGUGCAGGGGAUGGGAUGGAUGUGGCCACCACAAAGGAAGACUUUGGAGCCCUGGCCCAAGCCUGACAACACUCAGGGGGCCUUACGCUGCCACCAGGGCAUCGCCUCUGCCUGCCCAUAGGGUUCUAUGAGGGCCCCUUCGCACAGCUGAGAAAAACGAAGCACGGACAGUGAGGUAAGUUGCGCAGGUUACCGGUUCAUAAAUGAUGGUCAGUAUCCACACCCAGGCUGGCCUGUCUCCGUGGCCAGAACUGCAAACCAUGUCACCCUCUGCCUUUGUUCCCCAAGAUGAUCUGAUUCCGGUGGGUCUGGAGCCGGCCUUCGACAACCGCCCCCAGAGGUCACUGGGCCACACUUUGAGAACCACACUCUGGCUUCCGUUUCAGUCAGGCAGAACAUUAGAGCCACCUGAGAAGCUUCAGAAACUAUGAAUACCGUUCCCUUCCCCAAACACAGGCAUUUUCAAUGGGUCCAGAGUCGCCUCGCAGGUGUGGGUGACGUUCUGGUCAGCAUUUUCUUUUAAGGGGACAGACAGAGUGUAUAUUUAUCCAAUCAAUAACACACAUGAAGACCUGCUCCGUGCCCUGUGCUGCACGGGGGCUGGGGACACAAAGGGGGGUGGGACACUGUGUGUGCCUUCCAGGAGCACAGGUGCCUGACACUUCUGGUGGGGCACAGCAUGCCCUUUCUGGGGGGAGGAGGAAGGAUGCGGCUUCCUUCUUGCUUGUUCUCCUCUGGUGAGCUCCAGAAAGAGCCAGUCUCCUCGAAUGUGAAGUCCUUCUGGCUUCUCCCCGAUGUGGUCCUUCGCCCUCGCCUGACAGGUCACGGCUGGUUCUCCACCCAGAACUCAGCUCCCAGAAACACAGCCCUGAGACACCACCCAUACGUGGAGCUCUCACAUUUUAGAGAGAGCAGACACAAGUGCUGGCUCUUGUUAGAUCUAAAGAUGCCUGGAGCCCACCGCAAAUCAGCCCACCUGAUUCUUAGGUCAUGGGUGGGGUCUAAGGAAUAUGCGUUUUUCAUAAACUCCCAAAUGGCUCUGCUAUGCACUCAGCAGGAGAGCGGCAGGAGACCCUGGAGAGUUUGAAAAACACUGAUGCCCAGGUCCAUCCCUGGAGAGACUGGUCAAUGCUUUCAGAAGUUCCUAUGCAAGGCAUCUGGGCCUUCCAGCUGACCUUGUUUGGAAUUUGGAGAGACAACCCCAGGGACACUCACUCCUUGCUGCCACCAGGGCCUUGAAAUAAGAGGAGAAAGGGCACCUGGGUGGUUCAGUUGGUUAAGAGCCUGACUCGAUUUCAGCACAGGUCAUGAUCUCACGGUUUGUGAGUUCGAGCCCUGCAUUGGGCUCCGUGCUGACAGUGCAGAGCCUGCUUUGGGAUUCUCUGUCUCCCUCUCCUUGCCCCUCCCCUGCUCACUCUCUAUCGCUCUCUCUCUCCCAAAAUAAAUAAAUAAACAUUAAAAAAAUAAAGUUCAAAGGUCUUCAUCAAUUAAAAAAAAAAGAAACAAGAGGAGAAGAAAACAAUAGGAGGGAAGAGACGAAAAAUAAAAAAGGAAUAGAUGAAAAUAAAGAAGCCAAUGAGAAGAUGUGGGACAAGAGAAGUCUGGACAAGAAGUCCCUGCUGAAAUCACUCAUUAACUCUGAGGCAUUCAUCUCUUUUUCUUAAUGUUUUUUCUUAUUACAAUAGUCAUUAAUUGGUUUUGAAAAUUAAUAGUAAAAAAGUAUAUGAAAACAAAAGUGAAAAAUGAUCUAUAACCCACCUGAACAGAGAUGAUCACAUAAGGUCUUAAUAUGACAUAUAUAAUGUAUAAUAUAAUAUAUUGUAUAAUAUUAUAAUAACCAUAACGUCAUGUGGUAUAUGUUAUACAUACUAUAAUAUUAUUAUUAAUAUAUAUUAACUAAAAUACAAUGAAAUAGGGGCGCCUGGGUGGCUCAGUCGGUUAAGCCACUGACUUCGACUCAGGUCAUGAUCUGGCGGUUCGUGA